GCUCACUUCAGCAGAACAUAUACUAAAACUGGAAUGCUACAGAGAAGAUUAGCACAGCCCCUGUGCAAGGAUGACAGGCAAGUCUGUGAAGCAUUCACAUUACAA